rnacentral:rRNA from 1 species
AGACCUCAAUUUGAGCAAGAUUACCCGCUGAAC